CGCCUUCUCCUCGAGCUCAGCUGCAUUUUGAAUGUCCUCCGGACCAUUGUACAGGGAAUAAACUCCGUACGGCGAUUGAAGUUAAAGAUGCGAUUUUAUCCAUCACGGGGAUAAAUUGCACAUCAGUAGUGAAGUUACUUGCGUCAAGCCUGCGGUGCAAAUGCGAGGACUUGGGACAGAUGUUGCAUGAUCUCCAGGAAUUUCGUUCAAAACAUCGGUGCCGUUCAUGAGUGGACUCGCGACCACCUCCCAAAA
rnacentral:lncRNA from 1 species